rnacentral:ncRNA from 1 species
CUACGGACUUAGAAAGCUGAGCCUUGAAGGAGAAAUCCUGCAAGUGACCGCUCUCAAAUUCAGGGAAACCUAAAUCUGGCAACAGAUACGGCAAUCCUGAGCCAAGCCAAAAAGCAAAGAGUAGUACUCAAAACUUUUUGGAAGGUGCAGAGACUCGACGGGAGCUACCCUAACGUGAAGCCGAGGGUAAAGGGAGAGUCCAAUUCUCAAAGCCUAAGUUAAGAA